rnacentral:rRNA from 2 species
AGCUCCAAUAGCGUAUAUUAAAGUUGUUGCAGUUAAAAAGCUCGUAGUUGGAUCUCGGGUCCAGGCUGGCGGUCCGACGCCUGUCGGUUACUGCCUGCUCCUGACCUACCUCCCGGUUUUUUCGCCCUUGGUGCUCUUGACUGAGUGUCUCGGGUGGCCGGAACGUUUACUUUGAAAAAAUUAGAGUGUUCAAAGCAGGCAAUAUCGCCUGAAUAAUGGUGCAUGGAAUAAUGGAAUAGGACCUCGGUUCUAUUUUGCUGGUUUUCGGAGCUCGAGGUAAUGAUUAAGAGGGACUGACGGGGGCAUUCGUAUUACGGUGUUAGAGGUGAAAUUCUUGGAUCGCCGUAAGACGAACUACUGCGAAAGCAUUUGCCAAGCAUGUUUUCA